GAUUAUUGAAAGGUGCUUGCAUCUUGAUUUAAUUUUGAACGAGUGGCGGACGGGUGAGUAACACGUGGGUAACCUGCCCUUAAGUGGGGGAUAACAUUUGGAAACAGAUGCUAAUACCGCAUAAAUCCAAGAACCGCAUGGUUCUUGGCUGAAAGAUGGCGUAAGCUAUCGCUUUUGGAUGGACCCGCGGCGUAUUAGCUAGUUGGUGAGGUAACGGCUCACCAAGGCAAUGAUACGUAGCCGAACUGAGAGGUUGAUCGGCCACAUUGGGACUGAGACACGGCCCAAACUCCUACGGGAGGCAGCAGUAGGGAAUCUUCCACAAUGGACGCAAGUCUGAUGGAGCAACGCCGCGUGAGUGAAGAAGGCUUUCGGGUCGUAAAACUCUGUUGUUGGAGAAGAAUGGUCGGCAGAGUAACUGUUGUCGGCGUGACGGUAUCCAACCAGAAAGCCACGGCUAACUACGU
rnacentral:rRNA from 2 species